GGCGGAAGCUGCAGACGGCGAGAAUUGCAGCGGCAAACCCUAAACACACACUGGGUUGAAAAGAGCUUCUCUUAUUCAGCGUUACGUGUCCUCUUGAACACAGACAUGUAUCGCCCGGGUGAACCUGUUCGCCAGGUGCCUCCACCGCUGCCGUUCGGACCUCCACCGCCUCACGGCCCUCCUUUUAGACCCACAGGGCCCUGCUCUGUUCCUCCUCCUGGACACUUACCCCCCAGGCCCUGUGGACCAUAUCCGGUCGCGGCACGAGAUUAUCUCCACAACAGACCGCCGAGUGGGCAUUUCGUUCGUCCCCACUGUAGCAGCUUCUCCAUAGACCGUAGUACACCAAUUGCUUUGGGAGGAAGCCAGCAGAUUGUUACUCCUGCUGAACCAUCAACACAUCCGGUACCACAGUGGAAUCCCCCUCCAGUGGAACGUCAUUCUCUAGAUAAUAGUGACCGUGCUGGUGAGGAAUUCCUGAGAUGCAUUGCAGCCAACAAACCUCUCCCAAACUAUCUGAAAGGCAACAUGGCAUACAACCUGGCUGACGCAUUUAAGUCAGCUAGUAUCUUGAAAGAAGCAGUCAAAUCAGACCGUGAAUUCCAGAAGCAUGUGCCUAGAAGCAAGAGCCGUAGUCGAAGCAGAAGCCGAGGCAGGUCUCGAGCCAAGAGUCGCGGUCGAAGCAAAAGCAGAGUACGCAGCCGAAGCAGGGGAAGAAGCAAAACUCAAGCCUGUGGGAAGAGUCGAGCUAGAAGCAAAAGUAGGGCUCGCAGUAGGAGUCGGAGCAACAGUCGAAGUGAGAAAAAAAGUCAUGUACGGAGCAAGAGUCGAGCAAGGCGAUCCAAGUCACGAAGUAGCAGUAGUGAAAAGAGCCGAGGCAAAGGCAAAAAGAAAAACAGGAGCCCCGGACUCAUCACUGUCAACAGCAGUAAUAAUCUGCCAGGAAAUAGUCUAUUAGAAGGAUUGAAGCUGGUUAUGAGCAGCCAAGAUUUGGAAGAUCACCUGCCAUCUCUCAAAGAUAUCAUCCUCACUAUUAAGGCUCCAGAUGAGGGCAAAAAAGUUGAGUGUGUAUCUAAUGAGCCUACACACAUGGAACAUGACAGUCAAGACAGUUUAUCAAUGCUGGAAAAGGAAAGCAUGCUGCUUCCGCAUGAAAGAGUUGGUGGUGAUUUCUCAUGGCUUCAAGGACAAAGUCAAGAAGAUGCUGCAUACCAGAAAGCUAAUGAACUUGAAGAUGAAGAGUCUUUCUUGUAUGGGAAUGAACCAGCUUCCCAGAUUAAUGAAAAGGCCAAACUACAGAAAGAGAGUAGUUCCCUUUCCACUCGUUGUGGACAUCUUCUUGAUCCAAAUCAGUCCCUGCAGUUGGCUUCUUCAACUUUAGUCCACUCCAAUCUGGACAACAUGGAAUAUGAGAAAAUCAAGACCAUAUUAAAAAGCCUGGGUUCAUCAAGUGAGAUCAAGGUGAAGACGCAGGGUCAGAAUGAGCAGGAGUCAUCUCCUACACUUGUCAAUUCAGACAAAGCAGCAGCAACUUUAGCAUUGCCAGCACUCAAUAACCCAAAUGUACGUCAGGCUCUGGAGUCUCUGCAAUCUCUGAUCAAAGAAGGGAUUUGGAUUUUAUAUUGGAGGAAGAGUGGAGAUGCCCAGAAUCCAUGUUUUUUUGAAGUCCAGUAUCCACAGUUACUGAUAAUUUGUGGUGCUGCUUCAUCUUCCAGUGUUUGUAGUGAUUGAUCCACUGUGUUUUAUCAACUCCAUUUUCAGUACAGAAGAUUGUACAGCACUAUCUCACAAGUGUUAUGGAGAUGCUGGUUUCUUUUACCAACAGGACCUCUAUCUAACGACAGUGCCAAAAUUACUAAAAUGAUUUUCUGAUCUGUUUAUAAAGUAAACAGUAAUAACAUACUGUUACUUUAUUUA
ensembl:lncRNA